rnacentral:lncRNA from 1 species
ACCUGACAGCUGUCCGGGUACUGCUACUGCAACCAUGAAAAUAUGCCUCUUAGAUCGCCAACUGCAGAGGGUAACAGCCCUAGCUUAUGCUCUCUGAAAUAUAUCACUGAAUUUUAUAAGAAAAGCUUCAUUGCCUACUUGCAUCUGUUUCAUGAGUCUCAUUUUUUUCAAUCCCCCUCACCAUUGAUGCCAAAGCUUCUGUUGACAGUUGGUUAUUAAUUUCCAUCUUCCAUGAUGCAAAUCCGUUGUCCUUGCUAAUUUAUGAAACUUUUUCAUUUAAAUAUAUUUUAAUGGGUUUAAAAGCGAGUAAGCCUUUGCAUUUUGAAGACAGUUUUCAGUUGAGAAUAUUCAGUUUCAAGGCUUGUCUCUAUAUAUUUAUGAUAAUAUUUUUAUAAGUGAUAUGCUUACAUCAUUUUGGGUAAGAAAUUAUAUAAUACUAGAAAAUUUCGCAAAUAUUUAUUUUGAAAAUGAUCGCUCCAUAAAAUAUCUCUUCAAAAAAAUGUUGUGCACGCUUUGCUAAAAUGUUAAUAUGUACCUUGGAAAGACACAUUAGCGCAUUUUUAUCUGCUAAAUAGCCAAUUACGGACAGCUGCUUGUCAUCAUGGAAAAUUUCUGUUUUUUGCCAGAAAACUAGGAAACUGGCCUUUUUAGGCAAGAAAAAUAUAUAACUCACCUUUAGAUCAAUAACUAUUAAAUGCUUUGCCACAAGAUAGUCAUAAAAUCCUAUAGCAAAGGCAAUGGACUAGAACGUCAUUUUGUUACAAAGCCUUCUAAAGAAUCUACUGUUUACAAGUCUUAUUUUUAUAAAAUAAAACUUGAUGACAUCCCGUAGUAUGUAAAUUGAAAUGUCACCAAGUUCCAGUGCUGGAUAAAAGAGUGUCAGUCCCUCCACACCUCGAUGUCCCCUUCUUCCUUCAGGCUGUCUCAUGGACUGUUUGUGACCCUCUGACAUACAAUUGAAUGAACAUGCCAGUGUCAGUAUUUAUAUAAAAUGUUAAUGAUGCUUAAUUUCUUGUAUGGAUGAAAAUAAUAUAAAUUGACACUGUAUUUCCUCCUUUCUAUAGGAUGGGAAUUACAGUCAGAGUAGUAAGCAUCUGACUGGCUAGUGGGUAAGGAGGUGUUCAGUCUCAGUAAGUUAGGGGUCUGGGUUUUUACUACCCAUGCAGGGACUAGACACAAGGUCUUCAAUUUAUGAAAGGCAGAUAGUAGGAACCAAGAUCCCUGCACAAAGCCAAGGUUCUUAAAAUGCUGCAAAUACAGGGCAAGAGUUGAAGAAGUUUCAUCCAUUAGUAUAAUACUGCAACCAAAAGCACAUUUCUGGGGUGUGUGUGUAUGUGUGUAAAUACAUAUACAUACAACACAUCUUCUCUAUCCAUUCAUCUGCUGAUGGACAUUUAGGUAGCUUCCCUGUCUUGGCUAUUAUAAAUAGUGCUUUUAUGAACAUGGGAGUGCAUGUAUCUUUUAGAUGUAAUGUUUUCAUUUUCUUCAGAUAUAUACCCAGGAGUGGGAUUGCUAGAUCAUAUGGUAAUUCCGUUUUUAGUUUUUUAACGAAUCUCCAUACUGUUUACUGCAGUGGAUUUACGUUCCCACAAGCAAUAUACAAGGGUACUCUUUUCUCUACAUCUUUGCCAACAUUUGCUAUUUGUACACUUUUUGAUGAUGGCCAUUAUGACAUAUGUGAGGUGAUAUUUCAUUGAGGCUUUGAUUUGCAUUUUUCCUGUGAUGAGUGAUGCCGAACAUCCUUUCAUGGCCAGCUUUAUGUUUUCUUUUUUUGGGGUGGGAGAUCACACCCAUAGCAUAUGGAAGUUCCUGGGUCAAGUUUCGAAUCCAAGCCACAGCUGUGACCUACACUGUCACAGAGGAAACUCCUUGUAUGUCUUCUUUGGAAAACUCUCUAUUCAGGUCUUCUGCUCGUUUUGAAAAUCUGGUUCCUGGCUUUUCAAUGGGUUCAGCCAAUAGGAGGUAGUGAUAGGAGACUGAAAAACAAUAGAUUAGUAAAGUCAUGAUACUAAUUUCUUCAACCACAUUGAUGCCGGGUCACUGGUUGGCAGUCAGCCUGUCUCUUUUGAAGACCAUGGCUCCUGUCAGGUAGCCCUAUCCUCCAACUACGGGUCUGAUCUUCACUUCCUCCUUGUGCUACUCAAGCUUUGGAUAGCAACAACUGCACAUUUUACUAUCUGUUGGUUUCCCUUAGCCCUGCCUACACCUUUGGAAAUAGUCCUUUCAUUAAACUCUCCACAAUUACUCUGUUUAAUAUGCCAUCUGUUUCCUGCCAAGAAUUUGGCUGAUAUAUUAUUAUUGAUAAUUUAAAAACUUAAUACUAAUGAUAAUAAUUGAGGACAAAAUCUACCAUGAACCAAGAGUCCAUGGACCUAACAAUUAGAAUCAUUAGAACUCAACUUGAAAUCAUAAAACAAUUUAUUAAGGACUAUUAAAAAUGUGCUUAGCAUAAUUAUAGACAUAAAGAGUAAUCAAAACCAGAAAAAAAGAUACUAUGAAAGAACAGAUAUUUGAAAAAUAGCCAAAUAGAAUUUGUAGAAAUAAAAAAAACCAGUUAUUGAAACUUAAAACCUGUUGGACAAAUUAAACAGAGAAUUAUACAAAGCUAGAGAGAGGUUCAGUCACAAAGAAAGUAAAUCUGAGUAUGUUGAUCAGAAUGAACUUUGACAAGAUAAAGGGAUGGAAAAUAUGAAUGAAAGAAGGGUUGAGAGACAUGAAGAGAUUGUCAGAAAAGCAAUUCUUACAGGAUAAUAACAGAAUUUUUCAUAAUUGGUUAAAAACAAAAUUCCUAAAAUUAAAAAAAAUGCGACAUGUCCUGAGUAGGAUUAGGCAAAAACAUGCCUACAUCUAAACAUAUGUACUUAAACUGUAGGCAAAGAAACAAAGAAAACAUUUUAUAAAAUUAAAAUAAAAUAAAAAUCAGCCAAAAAGAAAAGACAGAUUAUCCACAAUACUAGUAGUAAGACAGACGGUGGGUUUUGCAGCAGUGGUAAUAUAGACCUAGUAACAUUGUAAUAAUAGCUUCAAAAUGAUGAGGGAAAUUAGCUGUCAUCAUUUCACAUCCAGCUAAAAUAGCAUUCAAAGUUAAGCGCAAAAUGAGGACUUAGAAAAAAAUGUUCUUCCUAAAAUAUUUAAGUGAUAAAAUUG